CUCAAUCUAGAAUUAAGGAUGGUUAGGAAAGCAAAAAGAAUGGAAGAAAGUGCUUUAGACUCUGUGAGCAAAAUAAUGAGUUGCACUUAGGGUAACUGCUGGUCAGUCUUACCCUUUCAACUUUUUAACAUCUCACCGUAAAGCUGAGUCUAAAAGGAAACUUCUCUUCAACUCAUCAGAUAGGGGCAAGACCUGUUUGUAUUUGCCACCUCUCUCAACCCUACAUUCACUGAGGGAAAAACUUUUGGUUUGUACCACCAGACUUGAGUCAGGUUAGAGGCAGAAAGGAAGAAGAAAUGGGACACUGUUGAAGAGGGUUGGGGAGAGGAAUAUCGAGAGACUGUGAAAAAAGGAAAGAAAUCACAGAGGAGGCCUCCUUUAUGCCUCUCUGAGGUGGGCUCAGUAUGGAUGAAUAGGAGACAGAAGGAGGAACUAAUGGGCUGUUUCCACGAUUCCCAGGAUUUGGUGCACGACCGUCUAAUGAUAAGACCCUUCUAGUGACAGACUUCCUGCCUAGCUUGGGUUGUAAUAUCUUAUAAAAUACUUCCAGAUAUAAUGAGGUAUCCACGGAGACUGCAGGAGGAAUAGCUGAAUGCAUAAGCAACGCCAUAAGAAGUCUGAUGGGAGGCACAGCCUGCAGUAAAUGAAGUGAAGCAAUAUCCUUACCACACAGCAGAGCUGAGGUGACAAGCUGAUGGUAUCUGUGGCCUUUGGAAAAAGCACAUAUCAUAGCUGCUGCCCUACUUGAUGAGCCCUAUUCCACCCUCCCACACCCGAUCCUCAUUCUGGCAUGACAUCAGCUCUGCUUCCAGCCCCAAGUAUCAUCUUCUGCCCACCUGUUCCUGCAGCUCUAUGUGAACUUUGGUUUCAAGUUAGCAUCUCAACAUCCAUUUGGCAAAGACUUUUGGAAGGGGCUGUUAUGUACCACCCUGGAUCUAGCAUCAGGGAUCAAAUGUGAUUGUGUUCACUUGACUGUUUGCUGGAUGCAGAGACGAGAGUUAUGAAUACUGACUCUUGUUGGCCUCUAAAGGACCCUGGAAUGCUAUGAUGCUGCUUUCAGAAUUUGAUAUUACACAUAUAACCAAAGUUCGAUAACCACAUCUUCUUCUUCUUCUUUUUUUUUUUUUUUUUGGCUAGUUUUACUAUUUUUGUUUUGCUGCCAUCCAUGGACUAUCUUGUCCUAAAGCAGAAGGACGGCACAUUAGGAUGAGAGAUGUUUCCUCUAAAUAUGGAAUAGUUGCAAAGCAAUCAUAAUAAUGAAAUGGAUUGUGGGCGUAAUGUGCCUGUGUUUUCUCAUUAUGGCAUAUUUUGCUGUGAUGUUCCUGUAAUGAAUGUACCACUUGUAUGU
rnacentral:lncRNA from 12 species